CCCUUGUACACACCGCCCGUCACACCAUGGGAGUGGGUUGCACCAGAAGUAGCUAGUCUAACCUUCGGGGGGACGGUUACCACGGUGUGAUUCAUGACUGGGGUGAAGUCGUAACAAGGUACCC
rnacentral:rRNA from 1 species